AUUAGAUAAAAAACCAAUGCCCUUCGGGGCUUUCUGGUGAUUCAUAAUAACUAAACGAAUCGCAUGGCCUUUUGUGCCGGCGAUGGUUCAUUCAAAUUUCUGCCCUAUCAACUUUCGAUUGUAGGAUAGAGGCCUACAAUGGUUUCAACGGGUAACGGAGAAUUAGGGUUCGAUUCCGGAGAGGGGGCCUGAGAAACGGCCACCACAUCCAAGGAAGGCAGCAGGCGCGCAAAUUACCCAAUCCCGACACGGGGAGGUAGUGACAAUAAAUACUGAUACAGGGCUCUUUUGGGUCUUGUAAUUGGAAUGAGUACAAUUUAAAUCCCUUAACGAGGAACAAUUGGAGGGCAAGUCUGGUGCCAGCAGCCGCGGUAAUUCCAGCUCCAAUAGCGUAUAUUAAAGUUGUUGCAGUUAAAAAGCUCGUAGUUGAACCUUGGGUCUGGCUGGUCGGUCCGCCUCACCGCGUGUACUGUCCGGCCGGACCUUCCUCUUGGGGAUCCACAUGCCCCUUUACUGGG
rnacentral:rRNA from 1 species